GCAAUACCAAAAACACUUUACUGGCUUAGAACUGGGACCUGGUUUUUGGUAGUAAUUCUAUAUAUAACGUUUAUUGGACCCGAAACCGAUCGAGCUAGCCGUGGGCAGGAAUGGUAUUUACCAGGACCGUACCCGUGUCUGUUGCAAGAGACUGGGAUGACCUUCGGCUAGGGGUGAAAGGCCAAUCAAGUUCGGUAGAUAGCUGGUUUUCUGCGAAAUCUAUUCAGGUAAAGAGUGUGUGUUAAGACCAUAUUUAAUAUAA
rnacentral:rRNA from 1 species